GCCUAACAUCUAGCCCACACUACCCUCAUGAACCUUUUCUACACCCUCCCGUACACAACAAAACAUUUUAUCUCUUUAGUACAGGCGAUCGAAAAACUUAUAGGCGCUUCAGAUUAAGUACCGCAAGGGAAAGAUGAAAUAAAAAUGAAAUAAUUUUAAAGCCCUAAACAGCAGAGAUAUACCCUCGUACCUUUUGCAUCAUGGUCUAGCCAGUUUAACCAAGCAAAAUGUGAACUUUAGUUUGACACCCCGAAACUAAGUGAGCUACUUCAAAACAGCCCUAAGGGGCCAACCCGUCUCUGUUGCAAAAGAGUGGGAAGAUUUUCAAGUAGAGGUGACAAGCCUACCGAACUUAGAGAUAGCUGGUUAUUCAGGAGAAGAGUCUUAGCUCUGCCUUAAGUUUUCUUAUUAACUCAAACAAAUCUUUAAACUUAAGAGUUAUUCAAGUAAGGUUCAGCUUACUUGAAACAGGAUACAACCUCCAAUAUUGGGUAAAUAAGGGGAACCUAGAUAAAGUGGGCCUAAAAGCAGCCACCUUAUAAAAAGCGUUAAAGCUUAAUCACCAAUUCACCCAUAAUUCCUUGAUUCCUUAUUAACCCCUCAUCCCUACUGAAUCAUUUUAUAAUAUUAUAAAAAUUAUUAUGCUAGAACUAGUAACAAGAAACUGCCUUUCUCCUGAAUGUCAGCCAGAACCGAAAUAAACCCUAUCGGUAUUUAACGUAUAUGCUCUAACUAUAGUAACCCGCAACUAGAAAACCCUAUUAUUUUCAACGUCAACCUUACACUAAACAUUACAGGAAAGAUUAAAAGAAAGAGA
rnacentral:rRNA from 1 species